GACGGAGGAUGCAAGUGUUAUCCGGAAUCACUGGGCGUAAAGCGUCUGUAGGUGGUCAAAUAAGUCAACUGUUAAAUCUUGAGGCUCAACCUCAAAAUCGCAGUCGAAACUAUUAGACUAGAGUAUAGUAGGGGUAAAGGGAAUUUCCAGUGGAGCGGUGAAAUGCGUAGAGAUCCGGAAGAACACCGGUGGCGAAGGCGGCCUGCUGGGCAGUUUAGCUGACACUGAGGCGCGACAGCGUGGGGAGCAAACAGG
rnacentral:rRNA from 1 species